GUGCUCACUUCGGCAGCACAUAUACUAAAACUGGAACGAUACAGAAAAGAUUAGCGUGGCCCCUGCGCAAGGAUGACAUGCAAAUUCAUGAAGAGUUCCAUAUUUAA
rnacentral:snRNA from 3 species